rnacentral:ncRNA from 1 species
UAAAUAAAAUAAAUAAGAAUAUGAUGUUGGUUCAGAUUAAGCGCUAAAUAAGGACAUGACACAUGCGAAUCAUACGUUUAUUAUUAAUAAGAUAAUAAAUAUGUGGUGUAAACGUGAGUAAUUUAUUCGGAAUUAAUGAACUAUAGAUUAAGCUAAAUACUUAAUAAUAAAAUAUAUAAAAUAUAUAUAAUAAUAUAAAAGAAUAUUAAUAAUAUUAAUAUUUAUCUAUAGUCAAGCCAAUAAUGGUUUAGGUAGUAGGUUUAAUAAAAGUGAACCUAGCCAACGAUCCAUAAUCGAUAAUGAAAGUUAGAACGAUCACGUUGACUCUGAAAUAUAGUCAAUAUCUAUAUGAUACAGCAGUGAGGAAUAUUGGACAAUGAUCGAAAGAUUGAUCCAGUUACUUAUUAGGAUGAUAUAUAAAUAAUUAUAAAAUUUUAUUAUAAAGAUUAUAAUAAUAAUAUAUAUAAAUUGAUUAAAAAUAAAAUCCAUAAAUAAUUAAAAUAAUGAUAUUAAUUACUAUAUAUAAUAUAUAUAGAUAUAUAAAGAUAUAAUUAAUAUAAUAAUAUGUAAAAAUAAUAUUAUAUUUAUAUGUUUUAUUGUAUAUUUUAAUAGUCCUGACAAAUAUUUGUGCCAGCAGUCGCGGUAACACAAAGAGGGCGAGCGUUAAUCACAAUGGUUUAAAGGAUCCGUAGGAUGAAUUAUUUAAUAAUUUAGAGUUAAUAGAUUUAAUUAAAGAAUUAUAAUAGUAAAGAUGAAAUAAUAAUAAUAAUUAUAAGACUAAUAUAUGUGAAAAUAUUAAUUAACUAUUAACUGACAUUGAGGGAUUAAAACUAGAGUAGCGAAACGGAUUCGAUACCCGUGUAGUUCUAGUAGUAAACUAUGAAUACAAUUAUAAAUCUAAAAAUUAGAUUAAUAAUAAAUGAAAAUGUAAGUAUUCCACCUGAAGAGUACGUUAGCAAUAAUGAAACUCAAAACAAUAGACGGUUACAGACUUAAGCAGUGGAGCAUGUUAUUUAAUUCGAUAAUCCACGACUAAUCUUACCAUAUUUUGAAUAUUAUAAUAAUUAAUUUAAUUAUUAUAUUACAGGCGUUACAUUGUUGUCUUUAGUUCGUGCUGCAAAGUUUUAGAUUAAGUUCAUAAACGAACAAAACUCCAUAUAUAUAAUCUUAAUUAUAUAUAAUUUUUAUAUUAUUUAUUAAUAUAAAGAAAGGAAUUAAGACAAAUCAUAAUGAUCCUUAUAAUAUGGGUAAUAGACGUGCUAUAAUAAAAUGAUAAUAAAAUUAUAUAAAAUAUAUCUAAUAAUAUAUUUAAUUAAUAAUAUAAAACAUUUUAACUUUUAAUAUAUUUAUAUAUUAUAUAUUAAUAUGAAUUAUAAUCUGAAAUUCGAUUAUAUGAAAAAAGAAUUGCUAGUAAUACGUAAUACGUAAAUUAGUAUGUUACGGUGAAUAUUCUAACUGUUUCGCACUAAUCACUCAUCACGCGUUGAAACAUCUUAUUAUCCUAUUAUAUAAUAUAAUUUAAUAAAUAUUUAAUGAUUAUUUAUUAUUAUUAUAUUUAUAUCCGAAAUAAUAUGAAUUAAUGCGAAGUUGAAAUACAGUUACCGUAGGGGAACCUGCGGUGGGCUUAUAAAUAUCUUAAAUAUUCUUCCA